rnacentral:misc_RNA from 1 species
GUAGGUGAACCUGCGGAGGGAUCAUUACAGAGUAUCGUGCCCCUCGGGGUAGAUCUCCCACCCGUGUCUAUUCUACUCUUGUUGCUUUGGCGGGCCGCCCGGCCUCGGUCAGGCCACCGGCUCCGGCUGGUGAGCGCCCGCCAGAGGACCCAACUCUGAAUUAGUGUCGUCUGAGUACUAUAUAAUAGUUAAAACUUUCAACAACGGAUCUCUUGGUUCUGGCAUCGAUGAAGAACGCAGCAUCUGACUG